rnacentral:rRNA from 1 species
GUGGAUUAGAUACCCUAGUAGUCCACGCCCUAAACGAUGUCGACUGGUUGUUGGGGGUUUGACACUCUCAGUAACGAAGCUAACGCGUGAAGUCGACCGCCUGGGGAGUACGGCCGCAAGGUUAAAACUCAAAGGAAUUGACGGGGACCCGCACAAGCGGUGGAUUAUGUGGAUUAAUUCGAUGCAACGCGAAAAACCUUACCUACCCUUGACAUGUCCUGGAGGCCCCUGAGAGGGGGCUGUGCCCGAAAGGGAACGGGAACACAGGUGCUGCAUGGCCGUCGUCAGCU